rnacentral:rRNA from 1 species
UUGGGGAUAACCUUGCGAAAGUAAGACUAAUACCCAAUGACGUCUCUAGAAGACAUCUGAAAGGGAUUAAAGAUUUAUCGGUGAUGGAUGGGGAUGCGUCUGAUUAGCUUGUUGGCGGGGUAACGGCCCACCAAGGCGACGAUCAGUAGGGGUUCUGAGAGGAAGGUCCCCCACAUUGGAACUGAGACACGGUCCAAACUCCUACGGGAGGCAGCAGUGAGGAAUAUUGGUCAAUGGACGAGAGUCUGAACCAGCCAAGUAGCGUGCAGGAAGACGGCCCUAUGGGUUGUAAACUGCUUUUAUAAGGGAAUAAAGUGAGUCUCGUGAGACUUUUUGCAUGUACCUUAUGAAUAAGGACCGGCUAAUUCCGUGCCAGCAGCCGCGGUAAUACGGAAGGUCCGGGCGUUAUCCGGAUUUAUUGGGUUUAAAGGGAGCGUAGGCCGGAGAUUAAGCGUGUUGUGAAAUGUAGACGCUCAACGUCUGCACUGCAGCGCGAACUGGUUUCCUUGAGUACGCACAAAGUGGGCGGAAUUCGUGGUGUAGCGGUGAAAUGCUUAGAUAUCACGAAGAACUCCGAUUGCGAAGGCAGCUCACUGGAGCGCAACUGACGCUGAAGCUCGAAAG